rnacentral:rRNA from 1 species
UUCAGAUUGCAGGCUGCAACCCGCCUGCAUGAAGUCGGAAUUGCUAGUAAUCGCGGAUCAGCAUGCCGCGGUGAAUACGUUCCCGGGCCUUGUACACACCGCCCGUCACACCAUGGGAGCCGGUAAUACCCGAAGUCAGUAGUCCAACCACGUGAGGACGCUGCCGAAGGUAGGAUUGGCGACUGGGGUGAAGUCGUAACAAGGUAAC